rnacentral:tRNA from 2 species
GGAGCGGUCAUACAGCCGGUUUGUAGCCGGUGUGUCACGCCAGGACUCGCGGGUUUGAGUCCGGUCCGCUCCGCCA